rnacentral:rRNA from 1 species
UUGGCGGACGGGUGAGUAACGCGUGGGGGAACCUGCCUUGCACCGGGGGAUAACACUUAGAAAUAGGUGCUAAUACCGCAUAAGCGCACAGAGCCGCAUGGCUCGGUGUGAAAAACUCCCGGUGGUGCAAGAUGGACCCGCGUCUGAUUAGCUGGUUGGCGGGGUAACGGCCCACCAAGGCGACGAUCAGUAGCCGGCCUGAGAGGGUGAACGGCCACAUUGGGACUGAGACACGGCCCAAACUCCUACGGGAGGCAGCAG